GAGACAAUAACUACUGCGAGAAGUACGCUGGCCAGAAAAAAAACAAGGAACUGCUAACGUGAAACAGACAUUGUUAAAAUACGUAACAUAAGGAGAACACGAGAAAAGUGAGAACGUGAAGACCUCCAGUCCAGGUAUCUUCUCUAUGAAAGUGGAGCUGACAGACUGCAAGGCGAGCUGAGGCCACGGGUGGAACCAAUCAAUGGCUGUGCAGUUCACCAGAGCUGGAAACUUCCGUGCACGUGUCCGUAGUGUGAACCCCACUGGGGAAAAACACAACACCACCUGGAGGGUAGAGGUGGAAAAUGUAGAUGCAGAGCAGCAAAAUAACUACUACGAAAUGUUUCAGACCUUCAGCUGUCUUCGUAUCCUCUCAAUAAAGAAGCUCCAGCAGUUCUCUCUGGAAUCUAUAAGUCCUAAACCUCGGAGUUCCAUACGCACUGACGACAAGAUUGUGUCCACUUCUUCAUCACUAAAGAGGCUUACUACGCUAACUGGACACACCAUUAGGGACACCUGCGCAAUCUAAUGAGGUCCACUCCAAGAGGUUGAUCACAAUCAAAUAUUAAAGUUUGAAUUGACACUGUCAAAGCAGUCUACAUUUAUAUGAGAAUGACUCACCUGAAGCAAGCAUGUCAUUUAUGAGCACCAGGAAGCAUUCAUCAGGAAUCUGGGCAUCCGUAUGAAGGAAGACUGUGCCAAUGUUCUUAACUCCUACUUUUAUAUACAAGGCUGCUAUAUCACUCUGGACAAAAGGAGAAAAGAAUGCUGU